rnacentral:tRNA from 1 species
UCCCUGGUGGCUAAAGACGGUAAAGAAUCCGCCUGCAAUGUGGGAGACCUAGGUUCAAUCCCUGGUUUGGGAA